GAUGAAGAACGUAGCGAAAUGCGAUACGUAAUGUGAAUUGCAGAAUUCAGUGAAUCAUCGAGUCUUUGAACGCACAUUGCGCCCCCUGGUAUUCCGGGGGGCAUGCCUGUCCGAGCGUCAUUGCUGCCCUCAAGCACGGCUUGUGUGUUGGUCCUCCGUCCUCCUCCCGGGGGACGGGCCCGAAAGGCAGCGGCGGCACCGCGUCCGGUCCUCGAGCGUAUGGGGCUUCGUCACCCGCUCUUGUAGGCCCGGCCGGCGCUUGCCGACACAUCAAUCUUUUUUCCAGGUUGACCUCGGAUCAGGUAGGGAUACCCGCUGAACUUAAGCAUAUCAAUAAGCGGAGGA
rnacentral:misc_RNA from 1 species